rnacentral:tRNA from 1 species
GCCCCGGUAGCUCAAUGGAUAGAGCAGCUCUCUUCUAAGGAGUUGAUGGGAGUUCAAUUCUCUCCCGGGGCA